rnacentral:rRNA from 1 species
GUAAGUCAGUGGUGAAAGUCUGCAGCUUAAAGGGGAACUGCCAUUGAUACUGCACACCUUGAGUAAUUAUGAAGUGGUUAGAAUAUGUAGUGUAGCGGUGAAAUGCAUAGAUAUUACAUAGAAUACCGAUUGCGAAGGCAGAUCACUAAUAAUUUACUGACGCUGAUGGACGAAAGCGUAGGUAGCGAACAGGAUUAGAUACCCUGGUAGUCUACGCCGUAAACGAUGGUUACUAGCUGUUUGGUCUAAUUGAGGACUGAGUGGCUAAGCGAAAGUGAUAAGUAACCCACCUGGGGAGUACGUUCGCAAGAAUGAAACUCAAAGGAAUUGACGGGGGCCCGCACAAGCGGUGGAGCAUGUGGUUUAAUUCGAUGAUACGCGAGGAAC